rnacentral:snRNA from 1 species
UUGAACCCAGACGUGUUCCAGAUCUUUAUAUUUUUAUUUUUUAAAAAUGAAUCUAAUUAAAGAUUUGGGUCUAAGAUGGGUAAUACUAAGCUCCAGUAUUUUUGUCUGGUUUUAGUUUAUACAAUGUUAAACUAAGAUCCUAUAAUACUGGUAUAAUCAAG